AAAAGACCUGCCUCCUUUAUGCACACUUUUGAAAAAUUUAAUAACUGAUUCAGCUGCCUCAAAUUAAAUAUGCCUCCUAGUGAUAGAAGAUGGUUCAAGAUAAACCGAAAAGUGUUUGUGUAUUCGGCAGUGCGAUAGCACCCCUUGGAAGAGGUUCACUUUUACAGAGUCUUCUCUUUUUCUUCACAACCUGAAAAGCAAGUUUGUAAGAACAAUCCACGAAGUCUUGCUGCACUGGAACAGAAUAUGUGUACAACAUCAUCAGCAACAUCCGAUGGCAUGAGUCACAAGCAAGUCGCACAAUGUAAUUCAUGAAAACUGUGCCUGAGCCAUGACAAUCAACAUUUUCAACAGAACCUGUAGAGACAGAGGAAUCCGUGUAAUAGGCUUUUGUCUUUUAUCUAUUUGUAUAAUCUUUUUAAGAGUUCAUGUAUUUUUCAAUUGCUUUUGAUUCUGUUUAUCUUGGUCCACCAUGUAUCUGGAAAUGUUAGUACUCUUAAGGAGAAUUUGCUUAAAUAAUACUGCAAUCACAAAAAAUAUAUUUAAUAUAAUUUUGAACACUUAAAUGCAAUAAAUGUGAAUUUAUUUGUGGAUACAGGAUUUUUAAUAUAUGGGAGGCAUAAGACCCCUUAUCUUAAAAUAAUGCAUGUGUCUAUUUUACUGGAAUAUUAUAACAAAGUUCAGAACAUAACAAAUCCUAUGCCAAUUUUUUAAAGAGAGGAUGAUAAAAGGUUAUUUAACGCGUUGACGCCGGCCUGAUCCACCGGUGGCCAUGCUAGAUUGUUCCGUGGGGUGGCAUGCAUCACUGAUGGACCACGUUUGUAUAUAAAAAAAUACGUAAUAUAAAAUGUAAUUUUAUUAUAUUAUUAUACAUUAACAUUUCUACCUUAUAAUCAAACAUUUAACAUAAAAUACAUAACUUAUAAUUUAAUCAAUACAUUAAAUAUAACAAAAUAUAACUACUUAUGUUACCAAUGCAAUUUUUUAAAACAUUUUAAACAAAGUUCCGGCUUAUCCGGACAUCUGCUACAAAAGGUCAUUACUUUUUUGUUUUGUUUGUGGCGUACUGUGCAUCUUUUGAGUUUGUUAAGCGCUUUACAUCCUUUCCUCAUCUUCCUCCCGAAUCCUUGGAGAGAACUUUAAAAAAAAAUUUUCUGUCUACUUACUAUUUAAUUCUUCACUAGGGAGAUUCUCAACACUCUUCAAUAGAUAAUCAAUAUUUUUUUUUUUUCUAAAUUUUAAAAUUU